rnacentral:rRNA from 1 species
CUCUGGGUUAGUCGGGUCCUAAGCUGAGGCCGACAGGCGUAGGCGAGGGAUAACAGGUUGAUAUUCCUGUACCACCUAUAAUCGUUUUAAUCGAUGGGGGGACGCAGUAGGAUAGGCGAAGCGUGCGAUUGGAUUGCACGUCUAAGCAGUAAGGCUGAGUAUUAGGCAAAUCAGGUACUCGUUAAGGCUGAGCUGUGAUGGGGAGAAGACAUUGUGUCUUCGAGUCGUUGAUUUCACACUGCCGAGAAAAGCCUCUAGAUAGAAAAUAGGAGCCCGUACAGCAAACCGACACAGGUAGUCAAGAAGAGAAUUUUAAGGUGAGCGAGCGAACACUCGUUAAGGAACUCGGCAAAAUGACCCCGUAACUUUGGGAGAAGGGGUGCGCUUUAGG